rnacentral:rRNA from 1 species
AUUGAACGCUGGCGGCAGGCUUAACACAUGCAAGUCGAGCGGGGGAAGGUAGCUUGCUACCGGACCUAGCGGCGGACGGGUGAGUAAUGCUUAGGAAUCUGCCUAUUAGUGGGGGACAACAUCUCGAAAGGGAUGCUAAUACCGCAUACGUCCUACGGGAGAAAGCAGGGGAUCUUCGGACCUUGCGCUAAUAGAUGAGCCUAAGUCGGAUUAGCUAGUUGGUGGGGUAAAGGCCUACCAAGGCGACGAUCUGUAGCGGGUCUGAGAGGAUGAUCCGCCACACUGGGACUGAGACACGGCCCAGACUCCUACGGGAGGCAGCAGUGGGGAAUAUUGGACAAGGGGGGGAACCCUGAUCCAGCCAUGCCGCGUGUGUGAAGAAGGCCUUAUGGUUGUAAAGCACUUUAAGCGAGGAGGAGGCUACUUUAGUUAAUACCUAGAGAUAGUGGACGUUACUCGCAGAAUAAGCACCGGCUAACUCUGCG